rnacentral:lncRNA from 1 species
AAAUAUCCAAUAAAAGGGAAAAAAAAGAGAAAAUGUGUAUUUUAAUGGAUACUUUAAAUGUUGUAGCUAUUUAUUCAUUACUUCUUUGUGUGUAUGGGCGUGUGUAUAUGCAGGUGUACUCAGACAAAAGAGGGUAUUGAAUUGUCUGGAGUUGAUGUUACAGGCAGUUGUGAGCUGUCUCAUAUGAGUAUUGGAAUUAAACUCUAGUCCUGUGCAAGAUCAAUAAGUACUCUUAACCACUGAACAAUUUCUUCAGUCACCCCUUUUGCUUUUUAACAUCAUGUAACAUGUACUUCGAGUCCCACAUUAUUUUUUGCAAACUUUUUAUACCUCACCUCAAUUCCCAAACUAUUUUAUCUAAUUGCAAUGAAAAUAUUUUGUAAGGCAUAUUUUCAGUGUACUUCAGGAUGAUUGAAAGUUACUGACCUUUUAUUCCCGUGGAUCCACUUAGUAUCCCAUUCUCUCCUUGUUAACACCAAAAAGUUCUCCAUACCUUGUCAUAAGCCCACUUCUUUUUAUGAAAAUAUAAAUAAUCACCUUCUUUGCAUGCAACUAUGUCCUUUCCUUACAUGUUUUUACCUAGUGUCUACUUGUCAUAGCUGCCCAUUGUUGUCAUAGAGACCCAACAAUCCUUAUUUCAGGAUUUAAGAGGACUGCUUAAGCCAUUCACAAAGUGAUUUCCAACUUUGCUCCGAUUUCAUAUGACCAUUGUUGGCAGCAGCAUGAUUCUCUUUGACCAGAACUGAGAUGUGCAUCUAAGACAAUUUGCCCAACAUUUUCUCUAUGUAUACAUUCAUAUAAUUUGACCAUGUUUCCUCCCUUUAGUUCUCACUCUCCCUUUUCUUUUUCUUUCCUUUCUCCUCUGCUCAUUAUUGUCCCAGAAUUUUGCAUCUACUUUUAUAUUAUAUGGUCAUACAUAUGCAUAUACAUACACAUACAUGGUAUCCACAAAAGAAAAAAAAUGUGAUAUUUGCCUUUCUAUGCUUUAAGUUACUUAAAACGAUUACUUCCUAUUGCAUCCGUGUUUUCACAAAUGGCAAUUUUAUUUUUCUUUAUGACUGCUUAAAAUUCUAGUUUCGCAAGUAUUGUGUUUUCUUUAUUCUACUGUUGACAGAUUGCUCAUUGUAUAAUUUAUACAUUUUGGAUAGUACUGCAAUAAACAGUAACAUGUAAGUAACUCUGAUAUACUGGUUUUUGAGUCCUCCAUAAAUAUACUCAGAAGAAAUAUCACUGUGCUGUAUGUCAUUUCUACUUUCUAGUUCUGAAAACCCUACAUCCUUAUUUCCAUACUGGCUAAACUAGUGUACAUUCCAAGUAGUAGCAUUCCAACAAGGGUUCUCUUUUCCCUGUAUCCUCAUGAGAAUUUAUUAUUACUUGCUUUCUUAUGUACAGCCAUUUAGAUUGAGGUGAGAUAGAAUCUCAGUACAAUUUAGAUUUAUAUUUCUUCUGAUACUUAGUAAUGCUGAACAUUGUUUAUAGGUCUAUCAAUCACCUGUACUUUGUAAUUUUUGAACUGUUUGUUGCUGUCAUUUGUAUAGUAAAUUUAUUUGUUGUGAUGAUUGAUUUAUGUGUAUAAAAUAUUUUGAGUUCCUUGUACAUUCUAAUUAUUAUAAUUCUGUGUAGCAAGCAAUUUCUUUUCUGAUGUUUUUUAUAAGAUGUCUUCUUACUUGAAGGUUUUCUUUGUGCUGGAGAAGAUUUACUAUUCCAUCCAAUACUAAACUAUUGGAAUCCUGAACUCUGCUUUUAUCUGUCAGAACACAGAAUGGAGUCAUCUGAGUAAAAUUCUGAGUGCUUGUGAGAAAAAAUAAAAACAAAACAAAAAAAAAAACAAAAAAAAAACUUCAAGAAAAAAGAUAAGAGUCUUGUAAUCUUAUAAUUAUUCGUUCUUGGAAUGCAUUUUUGUGCUUUUCCCAGGUGUAGCAGAUAGGAAUGCAUUUACUUCAGAUUAUUAAUUAGAACUGGCUAUUGUUAUUUGUUUGUAAGCCUCUAUGGAAAAACAUGAUUUUAGCACAUGCUGCUUGUCUUUGUGGACUGAAUACAGUUUGCACUCAUGAUCCCUUCAAUUAUGUAACCCUUCUUAACUCUCAGAUUAUAAAUUGUCUGAGUCUUUGAAUAAAGUUGGCUAUUGCAUGAAACUUUAGUCUGCACCAUUUAUCAGCUCCACUUUCCUAAGACACACUGUUUGUAGAGUAGUAAAUAAUUAUCUUGAACUAUUUUCCAUAUUUAUUUCUUCUUACAGCUUCAGUUUCAGGUACCAUCUUAAAUCCAUUUGGAACUGUUUGUACAAGGUAAGAGAUACAGAUCUAGUUACACUCUUUUAUAAGUGGAUGUCAAAUAUUCCCAGCACAAUUUGUUGUAGAGGCUGUAUUUUUUCCAAUACAAGUUUUUGUCAUUUUCUAAAUCUAAUCUGGGUGUUUGUUUUAUGUCAAUACCAAGCUACUAUUAUUACUAUGGCUUUCUGUAGCAAAACUUAAUAUCAGAUCUAGUAAAUUCUCAGAUGUUGUUCAAUGUACAACAGCUUCUAAUUUCACGAUGAAAAUUUCUAUAAUCCAGUGUGUUAUUCAUUUAUUAAAACUCCUUAAAAUAAUAAUUUGCAAAGUAUUUAAUAUCCAUUUAACUUACACUUUUCAAAAAGUGAUCUUUAAAUCCAUAUGCUAGACAAAAGGAAACAUAAACAAAAUAAGGUGUAUAUCAUACCAAUGGCCAUAAAAUAAAACUGGAAUUAAAAUCAUAAAAAGAUUGAAAUGAAAUGAAAAUGAGAGGUUGUAUAUUAAACUGUAACAUUUCUCCAAAUCUUAUUUUUUGUAGAUUUAUCUUUUACGUGUGAGUCUUUUCUGCUUGCAUCUAUAUGUCCACAGCAUAUCUGUAUCUGAUGCAUGUAGAAGACAUAAGAGUCUCUUGGAUAACCUAAAACUAGAGUUAAAGAGAGGUGUGAUCACUCUGGUAAGUUCUAUGAACUGAAUCCAGGUCCUAUGCAUGAAUGAUAGGAGUACUUACUUGCAUAGCCAUCUGCUUCUCCUUCUUUCUAGCCUCUAAAGGCAAUUCUUGCC